UACAUGUGGGGCAAGCGUUGUUCGGAAUUACUGGGCAUAAAGGGUGCGUAGGUGGCUUGUUAAGUCAGGGGUGAAAGUUUUCGGCCCAACCGGAAAAUGGCCUUUGAUACUGGCGAGCUCGAGUUCGUGAGGGGUAACCGGAACGAGCAGUGUAGCGGUGAAAUGCGUAGAUAUUGCUCGGAAGGCCAACGGCGAAGGCAGGUUACUGGUGCGCAACUGACACUGAGGCACGAAAGCGUGGGGAGCAAACAGG
rnacentral:rRNA from 1 species